CCUUCAGUCUCGAUGUUGAUGGCAGGACAAAGGGGCGCCUGGACCAUGGGUGACGUGGUCGAGAAGAGUUUGGAAGGGCCCCUGGCACCUUCUACAGAUGAGCCCUCCCAGAAAAGAGGAGACUUGGUCGAGAUCUUAAAUGGGGAAAAGGUCAAAUUUGACGACGCGGGACUCUCCUUAAUUCUUCAGAAUGGCCUGGAAACCCUGCGAAUGGAAAAUGCUCUGACAGAUGUCAUCUUGUGUGUGGACAUUCAGGAAUUCUCCUGCCACCGCGUGGUGCUUGCCGCAGCCAGCAACUAUUUCAGGGCCAUGUUUUGCAACGAUUUAAAGGAAAAGUAUGAGAAAAGGAUCAUUAUUAAAGGGGUUGAUGCUGAGACCAUGCACACUCUCCUGGACUACACAUACACCAGCAAGGCGCUGAUCACCAAGCAGAAUGUCCAGCGGGUCCUGGAGGCUGCUAACCUCUUCCAGUUCCUGCGGAUGGUGGAUGCCUGUGCCAGCUUCCUCACUGAAGCCUUGAACCCAGAAAACUGUGUUGGAAUACUGAGGCUGGCCGACACACACUCGCUGGACAGUCUAAAGAAGCAGGUUCAGAGUUACAUCAUUCAAAACUUUGUGCAGAUUCUGAACUCUGAGGAGUUCCUUGACCUGCCCGUGGACACUCUGCACCACAUCUUGAAGAGUGAUGACCUUUACGUGACAGAGGAGGCUCAGGUUUUUGAGACCGUGAUGAGCUGGGUCCGGCACAAGCCAUCAGAACGACUCUGCUUACUCCCCUAUGUCCUCGAGAAUGUGCGCUUACCGCUUCUGGACCCGUGGUACUUUGUGGAGAUGGUGGAAGCAGAUCCUCUCAUCAGGCAGUGCCCAGAGGUCUUCCCACUGCUCCAGGAAGCCAGGAUGUACCACCUUUCUGGCAAUGAGGUGGCAAAGAAACACAGCAUGAUGUUUGGAAAUAUAAUUCUUCGAUCAACAAGUGGAUUCAGAUUGAGUAUUUAAACAUAGGCCGCUGGAGGCAUAAGAUGGUGGUGUUGGGUGGCAAGGUCUAUGUUAUUGGAGGCUUUGACGGCUUACAGAGAAUCAACAACGUGGAGACCUAUGACCCCUUUCACAACUGCUGGUCAGAGGUAUAGGACAUGAUUUCUACCAGUAACUGCCUGUAUUAUUACUUCAGUGCUUUUUUUAAAAAUCUUUGGAACGUGCUUACCAUGGUGGCCAGCUUUCUGAUCACUUUACUUCCAAGGAGAACAGUUUUGGUGGCUCUGAGCUUCCCUCCUCCUAGGAGCUACUGCUUCAGUAUUGCUGAUCAAGUCACAGAAACAAUGUCCUUCCAAGUGGUGAAGGUCUGUGUGGGCACCUGUCCUAAUUUGGACAGAACACCAGAUGUGGACAGAGGCUCACCCUGUCCUUAGAUGGGAGAUCUCUUGGUCUGCAUGUCUUGGCAUAGAGUCUUGUCUCCUCAGAUGCCUUCUCUCCUAUUCUUCUCCACACUGGACACAUGCGGAUCACUUUACUACACGGUUUGUGAACCCAGAGUGAUUUGGUCAUGUUAGAAAUCAUCCCUUCUUUAUUUUCCCAUUGAUGAUGAGCCACUUACAGGCCUGCAUGUCAGACUUUAGUAAUGCAACCUCAGGUAUAUAUCAGACCCAGGAAAAGAAAAGCCACCUCAUCUCAUUUCCAGGUUAUUUCCAGUUUCAAAUUUUCUUUCUCCUUAUCAGAUCAGAUGUCCAAGCAUGUUCCAGCUUAAUGGAGUGUACAACACAGUCAUUGUAGGCACAAGCAAAGGUAGCCAGGUCACCACAACUAGCCAAGACUGUCAGCCUGAAAAGUGCUAUAUUGAGAGCCCUUAACAUGUAUGGGGGCAUGUCCAGGAUCUUCUCAAAACAAGCCCUAUCACAGAGCUGCUCCAUGAUCUAAAGAGAUCCUGUAAAUAAAUGGGCAAGAGGCUCUUGGAAGUCUCCUUUAGUGUCCUGGGGUUCACAGGGUAGAAGCACAUGUCUGACUUAAUCUCAAAAUCCUCAAUGCUGCCCUAUAAUGGAAGAGUCUGCUUACCUGUGGCCACCUUAAACCCAUAUACCAGCUUUUCUUCCUAGAGAUAAACACCAAGGAAAAUCAAUGCUGGUACAUAGUAGGCACUCCAUAAAUAUUUUUUGAGUGGAUGAGCACAUGAAUGAAUAUGAAUAUGCAUGUAUAAAACAUCGUUUUCCUCCACCACUGGCUGACUUCAUCUGUAUAAACUUAUUCUUGCCUGAGAGCUGGAUUCUGGGAGAGGCUGGCACAUCCCAACACACAGCUUGCUCUAGCUUGCGUGGAGCCUGGAGGGAGGGUGGGAAAUGCAUGCUUUCAUUCUUGCUGUGUCUUAAGAGGGGUCAAGCCCAUGGGCCUUGUGACUUUAGGCAAAAGAUGCCCAGUUCUGUGUCCCGGAGCUCUGUCCUGUAUCCGGGGAGCUAUUGCAGCAAUCUGGGCAGCAUGACUGACAGCUUCUUCUUGUGCCCUGUGCCUCUACAGGCCGCACCCCUCCUUGUCCAUGUCAGUUCCUUUGCAGCCACCAGCCAUAAGAAGAAGCUCUAUGUGAUUGGGGGAGGGCCCAAUGGGAAACUGGCCACAGACAAGACUCAGUGUUAUGACCCUUCCACCAACAAGUGGAGUUUGAAGGCAGCCAUGCCGGUGGAGGCUAAAUGCAUCAAUGCAGUGAGUUUCCGGGACCGCAUCUAUGUCGUUGGUGAGUAAUAGCUUUUUAUUGAUCUGAAUGGCUUAGAACCUGAUUAGCGCCUGGCUGCAGCACGUAAAGGGUGUAUCGCGGCGUCUCUAGCGCUGGCAACUCACUGCCCCUAGGACCCACUCUGGCUUUCAGAAGAGCCACCGAUCGACUGUUUCUCUUGGCAAGAGGGUAGACUUGGCCUAAUCAGAAGUUGAAUUUUAGUGGUUAAGAGGGAAGAAACCAGAAAAGCGGAGCGAUGCCCACCGUGUUUCCUCCCUCUCCUCAGGUGGGGCCAUGAGAGCGCUGUACGCCUACAGCCCGCUGGAAGACAGCUGGUGCCUGGUGACCCAGCUCAGCCACGAGCGGGCCAGCUGCGGCAUCGCGCCCUGCAACAACCGGCUCUACAUCACCGGCGGGCGGGACGAGAAGAACGAGGUUAUCGCCACGGUGCUGUGCUGGGACCCCGAGGCCCAGAAACUGACAGAGGAGUGCGUCCUGCCCCGGGGCGUGUCGCACCACGGCAGUGUCACCAUCAGGAAGUCGUACACCCACAUCCGCAGGAUCGUGCCUGGAGCAGUGUCUGUCUGAGGGCAGGAUGGGGAGCUGGACCCUCAGCGUGCCCGCCUCACCUCUCACCCUCCUCCAGUCCCACUUCAGGCAGCAGUCUCGAGUUUGAGGCCAUACAUCAGGGGAUCCCCUUGACUCAUUUUGGGGGAACCUUGGAAGUCACAGUUCGGGGUCACUUGAGACCGGCCAGGAAUGUUUGCAUGACCUACCUCAGGAGGGGAGGUGAGGAAGGGUAAUAUUUAGCAUUCAGGACCCACCCACCCUAUGCCGGCUUCUGUGCCAGGCACUUCCUUGUAUCGGUUCAUUUAACCUGGUGACUGGCUCUUAUCACUUCUAGUUUACAGGUGAGGGAAUCGAGUUUCACAGAGGCUAAGUGGCGGGCCCCCGAUCACUCAGAUAGCAAGUAGCUACCCCAGGAGUCUAAAACCCAGGUCUUUCAGCUCCGAAAUCAACGCUCUUUCCACCAUGCUGCCUAUCUCAGAGCAGGAAAAACAACCAAAAAACAAAAACAAAACCUGGCUCGUGCCGGGCGUGGCAGCUGACACCUGUAAUCCCAGCACUAUGGGAGGCUGAGGCGGGAGGAUGACCUGAGGUCAGGAGUUCGAGACCAGCCUGGCCAACAUGGUGAGACCUCCCCGUCUCUACUAAAAAUACAAAAAUUAGCCAGGUGCAGUGGCAGGCGCCUGUAAUUCCAGCUACUCAGAAGGCUGAGGCAGGAGGAUCACUUGAACUUGGGAGGUGGAGGUUGCAGUGAGCCGAGAUUGCGACACUGCACUGCAGCCCGGGAAACAAAAGUGAAACUCUGUCUCAAAAACAAAAACAAAAACAAAAACAAAAAAACCUGGCUCAUUUCUUGUUUCGGCAAAUCUGCUAAAAGAUUCACUCAGCACGGCAGGGAAAUAAAGGUGUUUCCUGUUUUC
rnacentral:sRNA from 1 species